rnacentral:rRNA from 1 species
UGGUCUUGACAUCCCGAGAAUCCUGUGGAGAUGCAUGAGUGCC